rfam:Amphimedon queenslandica AMPQTscaffold_11839_Cont13831, whole genome shotgun sequence.
UGGGGGUUGGCCAAGGAGGCAAGGCAUUAAAUUUUGAAUUUAAGUAUCGUAGGUUCGAGUCCUGAACCCCCAG